AUUUAUAUAGUUUAAAAAAAACGUUAUAUUUUCAAUAUAAAAAAAAUAAAAUUCUCAACUAAUUUAUAAAUA
rnacentral:tRNA from 1 species